rnacentral:rRNA from 1 species
AUGCGCGAGCUCCGCCUCGCCGUUCAUCUCUUCCACUGGCGGAUCCCAGUCCCGCGUUGGCCUCGCCGUUCGGGUCCGCACCAAGCUCCGACGACCUCGCACCGUUACACCCGGGAACUCAUCCCCGACUUCCCGGCUUCCUCCGCGUCCCCUGGCUACCUCUGUCUGCAUCGAGUAGCAGCAGCUCAUCGCUCAGCGCCAUGGCCCCCGCGCCCUCAAGCUCCUGCGCCACUUUGCCUCGGCCAUCCGACCCCAAGCCACCACCUCGCACCGCGGUCUUCAUCCGCUAAGGACGCCAAGACCCUUCUGUGGAUGCGUCAAGUACCCCUGCCGCGUCUACGAAAUCGCCAAGAACAGAUACUGCGACUACCGGUGUUUUCAAAGACUGCCAAAUACCGCUUUGUCAGGCGCUUGAAUGACUAUCACACCAGAACACCAAGUACAUGGAUACACCGAGUUCCCCUUCGACCGUGUACAACUGCUCACGCUAAAGACCACGUGUACCUCUAUCAUUGCGAAGUACCUCUUGGAUCAGACAAGUACCCCGAUGACAUGUGUACCACUAUGUCCGAAGACCUUGGAUGCACCAAGUUCCACUACAAUAUGUACCACUACCGUCGACCCGCGAAGACCCAGUGGACGCCAAGUCCCGUGUCGUGA